rnacentral:rRNA from 1 species
CCUACGGGGAGCAGCAGUGAGGAAUAUUGGUCAAUGGGCGGGAGCCUGAACCAGCCAAGUCGCGUGAGGGACGACGGUCCUAUGGAUUGUAAACCUCUUUUGUCGGGGAACAAAGGCGUCCACGGGUGGGCGGAUGAGUGUACCCGAUGAAAAAGCAUCGGCUAACUCCGUGCCAGCAGCCGCGGUAAUACGGAGGAUGCGCUCGUUAUCCGGAUUUAUUGGGUUUAAAGGAGGCGUAGGCGGACAGUCAAGUCAGCGGUAAAAAUGCGGUGCUCAACGGCGUACAGCAGUUGAAACUGGCAGUCUUGAGUGGGCGAGAAGUAUGCGGAAUGCGUGGUGUAGCGGUGAAAUGCAUAGAUAUCACGAAGAACUCCGAUUGCGAAGGCAGCAUACCGGCGCCCUACUGACGCUGAGGCACGAAAGCGUGGGUAUCGAACAGGAUUAGAUACCCGUGUAGUC